rnacentral:piRNA from 1 species
CAGAGCCAAGGAAGCUGCACAGGGACAAGGGCUGAUGAUAUUGAAAGUUCAUAUGGAUCAGGUGAUUUCACUGUGAAAGGCUUCCUCCACAGACUGAGCAUCAUCAAUGACUGGGCAAAAUUCCACUGGGCUCUUCUAGACUUUUUCCAAGGACUAUUUCUGGAAACAAACUUCAACAUUCCCAGAAAGUCACAUGAAGAGUUCACACCGAGUCUCAGAGGAGCCAAUGAACAAAAUCUGGGACUAUAAAGACCAUGAAGUCCUUUGAAGAGUGACUAAGCGCAUUGUACACCGAGAUGCACAGGAGCCUGUAGAAACUAAGACAUUUGGAGCAGCAGGAUGCCAUUGAGAAGAGGUUGGGAAUGUUAAAGCUUUGGUCUUCUGGUUGUGAUAGUUUUUCUCCCUCAGUUACUUCCACGAUUUAAAAAGUAUUUUAUUUGGUUACUUAGAGGGGAAUGAUGUUGGGGUAUUUGAUUUUUUUCACAAUGGCCACCUCUGCAAUCGCUGCUUUGGAACCACUUCUCCUGCUUCAGCAAAACUUUCACAGUGACUGACUCACCUGUGAGACGAUGGGAGACUAAUUUAGCCUUGGCCUGAAAUAUUUAGGGUAGUGAUUAUGUCUUCAUCAAAGAUGAUGGGUACAGUGCUGGGCCCUGAUGUUGCCUCCCUUGCCACUGUACAUUGUAGGUGGGAAUGCUACGUCAAAAAGAGAACGUAGCAGAAGAAAUGAAGUCUGAAGCACAAGAAACAACUAAAACCAAAGAAAACCAACACUACAUUUAAACAAAAACUCAAUGCCAAGUGAAGAAAAAAAUGAAAAAGGAUAGAUAUGAAAGAAAUGGUACACUCUAAAAUAACCAGGAAAAAAUAUACAACAGGUAAAACCAGAAAAUGAAAACUAAAGUUCAGCUCAACCAAACAAAAAUGUUCAAAAAUCAAACCUAACUAAAUGCCAAAUUGUAGUAAAUUCCACAGAAUCCAGAGUAUUACUAGAGGCAAAGAAAUAUAUUACAAGGAAAAAAAGAGACUGAAAGAAAGUAAAAGAAAUACCAAAAUAUAACCUUUAAAAAUUUGAACAAAAGUCUCAAACAAAAAUGAAAAUUAGAAUGAAGAUAAUCUACAAAGACCAAAAUGUGAAAAGGAACCAGGAACCUAGUGAAUGAAAGACGAAUGAAGUAAACCAUAAAGUGGGGGAGAUUGCUCAGUCCACAAAGUUCCUCCAUCGCAAGUGUGAGGCCGGGAAGUACAGUGAAAGAACACCAAUCUCAGUGCAAGGUGAGCCAACAGGUGUGUAUUCCUGGGACUCAUCGGAUGGCUAGCCUAAUCUACUUAGAAACUAUAGGCCAGUAAGAGACUCUGCUUAAGCAAAGUGGCCAGCAGACCUGAAAUAAGUCAGGUGGCAUUGCACUCUUUGGCACCACCAGCAAGCUUCCAUUGAGUUCAAAUUGGAAGUUGCUUGAAGUUCAAAUGGUGACGGCUAUGAGUGAGCUAUGAGGUAAGGUUCUUUCUGUGCAUAAGAAAGAUGUACUGGGUAUUGGCAUCCUUGAAGGGCUUUCACUGUUUUUCUGAAACCUACAUGGCUACUGGAGGUCUGUCUUGCUCUUACUUAGGGCUCUCAAGAGAUGUAUGAAUGUCCUGCC